rnacentral:miRNA from 1 species
ACAAGAUUAUAUAUAUAUACACACACACACAUAUGUGUGUAUAUAUGUGUGUGUGUAUGUGUGUAUGUAUAAAUAUAUAUAUAUGUA